UUCGAGUCAUAUCCAAUGGAUUGUUGCAAUUUGCAAUGAGUGCUUUUCUUAAAAAAAUUGCGAGACGUGUUAAACUCCUAAGUAAGCAUUCAAAAACACUUCCAAAAAUCCAUAAGGGUAGUCAAGCAAUCAUCGAAAAGGACAUAUUUGCUUAUUUUUUUUUCUAAAGUGCUUUCAACUGAUUUUUUCGGAGGCAAAACUCAAAAUCGGCAAAAACACGGAUUAUUAAGGAGCGGAAGAAACAUUAAGCAUUUUUUUUCGUAAAAAAGAUUGAUUCACCGGAUGAUUUACUCUUGAAAACAGUAAAAUAGAAAUGUCGUUGGCUUAUACCAAGAAGUCUUCAAUCCACUCAUAUUGCCCCAUAUGAGGAUUCCAACGGCGAUUUUUCAUAGCAUAUUGCUCUUCAUCGCUACUCCAACCUUCAGCUCCAGCAAUGCUAGCAGGAACCGAGCUCUUGUAGAGUUUGUCAUUCUUCUCUUCUGUUUGGGGUAAAUAAGG